rnacentral:rRNA from 1 species
UGGGGAAUUUUGGACAAUGGGCGCAAGCCUGAUCCAGCAAUGCCGCGUGCAGGAUGAAGGCCUUCGGGUUGUAAACUGCUUUUGUACGGAGCGAAAAGGUCUGCCCUAAUACGGUGGGCUCAUGACGGUACCGUAAGAAUAAGCACCGGCUAACUACGUGCCAGCAGCCGCGGUAAUACGUAGGGUGCGAGCGUUAAUCGGAAUUACUGGGCGUAAAGCGUGCGCAGGCGGUUAUAUAAGACAGAUGUGAAAUCCCCGGGCUCAACCUGGGAACUGCAUUUGUGACUGUAGAGCGAGAGUACGGUAGAGGAGGAUGGAAUUCCACGUGUAGCAGUGAAAUGCGUAGAUAUGCGGAGGAACACCGAUGGCGAAGGCAAUCCCCUGGACCUGUACUGACGCUCAUGCACGAAAGCGUGGGGAGCAAACA